rnacentral:rRNA from 1 species
ACGGGAGGCAGCAGUGGGGAAUAUUGGACAAUGGGGGAAACCCUGAUCCAGCGACGCCGCGUGAGUGAAGAAGUAUUUCGGUAUGUAAAGCUCUAUCAGCAGGGAAGAUGAUGACGGUACCUGACUAAGAAGCACCGGCUAAAUACGUGCCAGCAGCCGCGGUAAUACGUAUGGUGCAAGCGUUAUCCGGAUUUACUGGGUGUAAAGGGAGCGUAGACGGCUGUGUAAGUCUGAAGUGAAAGCCCCGGGCUCAACCCGGGAACUGCUUUGGAAACUAUAUAGCUAGAGUGCAGGAGAGGUAAGUGGAAUUCCUAGUGUAGCGGUGAAAUGCUUAGAUAUUAGGAGGAACACCAGUGGCGAAGGCGGCUUACUGGACUGUAACUGACGUUGAGGCUCGAAAGCGUGGGGAGCAAACAGGAUUAGAUACCCUGGUA